AUAAUACAUACGUGUAACAGAUACAACAUUACUUAUAACAUACCAGACAAACUAAGUGACACUUUAGGCCUACAGUGCAAUAAUAUGUUUGUUCCAACAUGAACUUUUGGACGGUCCAGAAACCGUCACGAAACUACUUGUACCGUUUGUUGUGCGCAUGUUCGUAAUUGUAUCGCCCAGUUAUCGUCCCAUGACGGUAAACAAUAUUUGUCAUUUUUAUUGGUGACAGCUUGUGUGCUUUUAGUCGAUCAAAGGCUCAAAAACUUUAAAGAAUUAAGUCCUAGUGUGCAAGUCAGUCUAACCAGCACAUUAUGCAUUUGCCCGAUUACUGAAAUGAUCAUCACGAAACCGUCACCGAAAGAUCACAAUUCUUGUUGGAACAGUGGGAAGGACGAUCCGAUGACGAUCAUAUUUUUGUUGGAACGGAUUUUGUUUACUGCGCAGGAGCAUUACCGUUUCGUGACGGUUCUCGGUCGUGUUGGAACAAACCUAUUAUAAACAUACAAGUGUAAUAAAAAUUAUUGUUCGCGAAUAUUCAAUUUGGAAUGCGAUUUUGUUAAUAAAAAAAUACUUAUAACUUAUGCAAAACCCAAGAGAGGCAUUUAUAUUUAUUUCUUUUGCGUUCAUUUUCAAAUUCGCCGUGCAUAUAUUUUUGUGCAUGGCGCUUGAGAGGGCAUCACGUGACUAAAAACGACCAACCAACGACCUCGCUUCGGCCAUCUUGGCAUCUUCAUCUUUGUGUUCAUCUUUGGCCACCUUGCUUUGCCGUGGGUGGAUAGUUGUUUGUAUUAUUUGUGCUUUUUAAGAAUAUUUUUUAAUUCGGAUACUUUUAUAAUAGCUUUAAUAGUAUUAUUAACAUAGUGAAUAAAAUGGUGUCCUGUUUUUAACGCAGUUGGAGUAGCAGAAACAAAUGUAGAUAAAAAAAUCUGCAGGAAUAACGUUUCAAUUAUGACAGAAGCUCCAAACAAAUGACUGUGAAUGAAAAGCCCUAUUAAAAGCUUUCCAGAAGAUCCUGCGAAGAAGACAUGAAGUAUAGAUCAGAUUUGUUAAUAGAGGAGUAUGUUCAAAACACAUUUUAGAAAAGAUAUUGACAGAACUUCACUUUCAUCUGUUCGUUUAAGAGACUGUGCUGUUCCAAUAGCUUAUGUCACACAGAAUCAGCUGAGAGAAGUGGUCUACAAAAAACCAGAAAGGAAACGGAAUAUGUGGCUACGAAAAGCAAAAGAAAGGUUUACAAAGCAAAUGUGACACAUUUUUUUAUAAUAUUUAGGAAUGUCAGUAAAUUACAUUAAAAAAUGUAUGUAAAGAUUUUUUGCAAUAAAAAUGUUUAUAUUUAUCAAGGAUGUAUUAUUUGGUAUGGCCACAUAUCGUCAGUGAUGUGACAAUACCUCCUAUCUGUUUUUUUCAAGAGAUUUGUAAGAUAGACUAAAAACUUGUUUCGGCCACCUCCUGUUUUCAUAUAUUUUUUGACUUGUUUUGCAGUAAAUUCAACUAUCUAUUUACUACAAAAAAGUCAGAAUACGUACGAAAACAGAAAGUGACCUUAAAAAAUGUUUUUCGUCUCCUGCAAACCUCAUGAAAAAACAUAUAGGAGGUAUUGUCACAUUACUGACGAUAUAUUUCAGUGAAUGUCUAAAAAAUAUACUGUGAAUGUUCAAAGAACGUUCGUAGACAUUCAUGGAAUGUUCUAACAAGACAUUCAGUCUAAAAAUAUACUGUGAAUGUCCAAAGAACAUUCAUGGAAUGUUCCAACAAGACAUUCAGUCUAAAAAAUAGACUGUGAAUGUCCAAAGAACAUUCGUAGACAUUCAUGGAAUGUUCCAACAGAACAUUCUAAGAAUAUUUAAAAUGCUGACACAGCACUUUCCUGGGACUUUCCAGGGACAUUCGUGUGCAUUUGGGGACAUUCCAGGAAUGUUU
rnacentral:lncRNA from 1 species